AUCUAUGAAGCACUAUAUUAUCCUAAUUUAUCCCAGUGUUAAGGAAGGUCUUUGUCGUGGUGGUAAGGGUUUACUGGAGGGUGUUUUUGAAGGUGUUACAGGUGUUGUUACAAAACCAAUGGAAGGUGCAAAGCAGUCU